rnacentral:tRNA from 1 species
GCGGGAUUAGUUAAAUGGUAUAACAUCUGCCUUCCAAGCAGAGGUCAGGAGUUCGAUUCCCCUAUCCCGCA